rnacentral:rRNA from 1 species
AUUGAACGCUGGCGGCAGGCCUAACACAUGCAAGUCGAACGAGUGGCGGACGGGUGAGUAAUGUCUGGGAAACUGCCUGAUGGAGGGGAAUACUUCCUGGAAACGUUACCUAUUACCCCAUACCAUCGAAUUUCCCCAGAUGGGAUUAGCUAGUAGGUGGGGUAAAGGCUAACCUAGGGACCGAUCCCUAGCUGGUCUGAGAGGAUGACCAGCCACACUGGAACUGAGACACGGUCCAGACUCCUACGGGAGGCAGCAGUGGGGAAUAUUGCACAAUGGGCGCAAGCCUGAUGCAGCCAUGCCGCGUGUAUGAAGAAGGCCUUCGGGUUGUAAAGUACUUUCAGCGGGGAGGCGUUACCCGCAGAAGAAGCACCGGCUAACUCCGUGCCAGCAGCCGCGGUAAUAC